CUUACACACUAAAAAAUACCCAGGCACUUUGUUAGCAACUUGAUUGGAAAGAAUGCAAGGUAAAUCCUAGUGUCUAUCACACACCUAAAAUAAAGCAUCAUAUGUAUAAAACAAUUAAGAAAUUUACAAAAUAAAAAUAGCACAUUUGGGGAAUGUUUCUGCACUAAAAAUCUUGGAGUUCCCACCAUGGCGCAACAGGAUGGGCAGCUUUCUCUGCAGCUCCAAGAUGCAGGUUCCAUCCCCGGCCUGGCACAGUGGUUAAAGGAUCCAGUGUUGCUGCAGCUGUGUUGUCACAACUGUGACUCAGAUCUGAUCCCUGGCCUGAGAGCUCCAUAUGCCAUGGGGCAGCCAAAAAAGAAAACAAAAAAGAUGCAAGCAUCAUUUCAGGAGAAGAGAGAGGGUGCUUCAAUCAAAGAUUAUGGAUUUAAUAAAGUGUUUUCUAAUAAAAUAAAAAUUUUGUGAAAACUGUGGGAUUUUUAUGGAAAUUUAAAACUGUCAAAAAUAAUUAAAAGACAAGCUAAAAAUGAGAGAAAUGUUUACAGCAAUAUAAAAGUUUAAUCCAUUUAAUAUAUAUAAAUUCUUACAAAUUAAUAAAGAAAAAGCCCGACGGGAACUCCCCAGUUGUUGUCAUUUAUUUGUUAUUGAGGCCCAUCUGUGAAUUUUACUUAUUUAUUGGUGUGGCAGUAUUAAGUCUCCAGUGUAUUGUCAGGAUUGAAAUGAGCUCUGAUUUAAGGAUUCUUCUAUCAAUCAGGAGAGAGAAACCAAACAGUAAUGUGAACAGGGAAGUUUAAUAUAAAAAUCAGCUAACUCUGUCAGGGCUUUGGAGUCAUGAGGGAUUUGCUAGUUGGAGGUAAAGAAAGCUUUAAAGCUUCAAAUUUUGUAGGAAUAGCAGGGGUAGGGGGUAGCCCCCAGAACUGAGAUAAGACACCUCACGAGAGCCCCCUGGCUGAGGUCCACACCUCUGGAGAGGAUACAGCCAUGGCUCAAGGGAUGGCAGAAAAGGCCCUGAGCGUGGGUAUGGGGUGGAAGUCCCUGAGAAGGUCCUCCCCCCUGGGGGGGGGUGGGUUAUAGAGGCGCCGGGAGCAGAGCCCUCCUUUCCCGCUGCGUGUCUCUAGCACCCUCUAUUGAAUACACGGUGACACGGCGCCGGCUGGCAAAGGAAGAUGUUUAAAGGUCCCAGGUUUCGGAGUGUGGAGCCGAGAGGCAAUAAAUCAAUAGCCCGCACCAUUCCCUGCCUCUCAAUUCCUCAGUAGUUGGAAGUAGACACUUUGGGGUAAAGCAUGCUUAUCAUUGGUUACACAGUACAUAUUUUAAAAUGUUCUCACAACGAAAUCCUUAUUAUUUUUAAUAACCACUUUGUCCUACUGUACAGUACAGGAAACUAUAUCCAAUCUCUUGGGAUAGACCAUGAUGGAAAAAAUAUUUUUAAAAGAAUAUAUAUAUUCAAAUAUAUAUGUAUAUGUACACAUAUAUGAGACAGAGUUACUUUGCUCUACAGAAAUUGGCACAGCAUUAUAAAUCAAGUAUACUUUAAUAAUAAUAAUAAAUUCUUGGGGUUCCCGUCAUGGCACAGUGGUUAACGAAUCUGACUAGUGUCCAUGAGGACGGAGGUUCAAUCCCUGGCCUUGCUCAGUGGGUUAAGGAUACAGCAUUGCUACGAGCUGUGGUGUAGGUCAAGCUGUGGUGUAGGUCGCAGACGCGGCUUGGAUCCCUUGUUGCUGUGGCUCUGGCGUAGGCCAGCAGCGACAUCUCUGAUUCGACCCCUAGCCUGGGAAUCUCCAUAUGCCACGGGAGUGGCCCUAGAAAAGGCAAAAAGACCAAAUAAUAAUGAUAAUAAUAAAUCCUAUAGCUUGCAUACUAGACUGUGCCAACAAGGACUGCUGUAUCUGAGAGAUUGGUUGGAGAUUUGCUUCUCUUUAAACAUAUUUAAGUAUGUGUUCAAGUUUAUUAUAUAAAUUGACUCUGAAAAUGGAGCAACAGUAAAAACUACAGUGUCAUUUUCUGACUUAAUCUGAGGCUACUUUAGACUUAGAAAUGAAAUAAAACAUUUUCACAAAAUGUUACCUAUAACUUCUAUACUUGUAAUUGACAUGUAAUGUAGUAUUAUUACCAAAGCAGUUUGGGUUUUUUGGGGGAGGAGUUUGUUUUGUGUGUUUUCGGCCAGGCGCUUGUAACUGACAUGUAAUAUAGUAAUAAUACUAAAGCAGGUUUGUUUUGUUUUUUGGCCACACCUAUGACAUGCAGAAGUUCCAGGGCCAGGGAUCAAACCUGAGCCACAGCAGUGAUAACACCAAGUCCUUAACUGUUAGGCCACCAGGGAACUCCUAUAGCAAUUUUUAUAGUAGUUAAAAAUGUUUACAUCGAGUUCCUGUCGUGGCUCAGUGGAAACAAAUCCAACUAGGAACCAUGAGGUUGUGGGUUCGAUCUCUGGCCUCGCUCAGUGGGUUAAGGAUUGGGCGUUGCUGUGGCUGUGGUGUAGGCUGGCAGCUGUAGCUCUGAUUCAACCCCUAGACUGGGAACCUCCAUAUGCCAUGA
rnacentral:lncRNA from 1 species